rnacentral:rRNA from 1 species
CAUGCAGUCGAACGAUGAAGCCCUUCGGGGUGGAUUAGUGGCGAACGGGUGAGUAACACGUGGGCAAUCUGCCCUUCACUCUGGGACAAGCCCUGGAAACGGGGUCUAAUACCGGAUACGAGUUCGGGAGGCAUCUCCCGGACUGGAAAGCUCCGGCGGUGAAGGAUGAGCCCGCGGCCUAUCAGCUUGUUGGUGGGGUAAUGGCCUACCAAGGCGACGACGGGUAGCCGGCCUGAGAGGGCGACCGGCCACACUGGGACUGAGACACGGCCCAGACUCCUACGGGAGGCAGCAGUGGGGAAUAUUGCACAAUGGGCGAAAGCCUGAUGCAGCGACGCCGCGUGAGGGAUGACGGCCUUCGGGUUGUAAACCUCUUUCAGCAGGGAAGAAGCGAGAGUGACGGUACCUGCAGAAGAAGCGCCGGCUAACUACGUGCCAGCAGCCGCGGUAAUACGUAGGGCGCAAGCGUUGUCCGGAAUUAUUGGGCGUAAAGAGCUCGUAGGCGGCUUGUCACGUCGGGUGUGAAAGCCCGGGGCUUAACCCCGGGUCUGCAUCCGAUACGGGCAGGCUAGAGUGUGGUAGGGGAGAUCGGAAUUCCUGGUGUAGCGGUGAAAUGCGCAGAUAUCAGGAGGAACACCGGUGGCGAAGGCGGAUCUCUGGGCCAUUACUGACGCUGAGGAGCGAAAGCGUGGGGAGCGAACAGGAUUAGAUA